rnacentral:rRNA from 1 species
GCUGGGUGGAUGAGUGGCGAACGGGUGAGUAACACGUGAGUAACCUGCCCUCUUCUUUGGGAUAACGCCCGGAAACGGGUGCUAAUACUGGAUAUUCACUGAUCCUCGCAUGGGGGUUGGUGGAAAGGUUUUUUCUGGUGGGGGAUGGGCUCGCGGCCUAUCAGCUUGUUGGUGGGGUGAUGGCCUACCAAGGCUUUGACGGGUAGCCGGCCUGAGAGGGUGACCGGUCACAUUGGGACUGAGAUACGGCCCAGACUCCUACGGGAGGCAGCAGUGGGGAAUAUUGCACAAUGGGCGAAAGCCUGAUGCAGCGACGCCGCGUGAGGGAUGGAGGCCUUCGGGUUGUAAACCUCUUUCGCUCAUGGUCAAGCCGCAACGUUKGGUUGUGGUGAGGGUAGUGGGUAAAGAAGCGCCGGCUAACUACGUGCCAGCAGCCGCGGUAAUACGUAGGGCGCGAGCGUUGUCCGGAAUUAUUGGGCGUAAAGGGCUUGUAGGCGGUUGGUCGCGUCUGCCGUGAAAUCCUCUGGCUUAACUGGGGGCGUGCGGUGGGUACGGGCUGACUUGAGUGCGGYAGGGGAGACUGGAACUCCUGGUGUAGCGGUGGA